rnacentral:rRNA from 1 species
CAGUAGCCGCGGUAAUACAGAGGGUGCAAGCGUUAAUCGGAAUUACUGGGCGUAAAGCGCGCGUAGGUGGUUUGUUAAGUUGGAUGUGAAAUCCCCGGGCUCAACCUGGGAACUGCAUCCAAAACUGGCAGGCUAGAGUAGGGCAGAGGGUGGUGGAAUUUCCUGUGUAGCGGUGAAAUGCGUAGAUAUAGGAAGGAACACCAGUGGCGAAGGCGACCACCUGGGCUCAUACUGACACUGAGGUGCGAAAGCGUGGGGAGCAAACAGGAUUAGAUACCCGUGUAGUCCCUGUCUCUUAUAC